UACUUCACCGAACGGGGAAGGAUGAGAAGCUUCGACCAAGGUUCGAUUCGAGCGCCAGCGAGAAAGCGUUGCCUCAGGCAACGACCCGAAGGGCGAAGCGCGCAGCGCUGAGUUAUCCUUCCCCCACCACCA
rfam:Escherichia hermannii NBRC 105704 DNA, contig: EH10570411.